rnacentral:lncRNA from 1 species
GGCAAGAGCCAGCCAUCAUAACCACCCAAUAUCCAAGUUUUCCUGUGCAGGUGUUAACCUGUUGUCAGCAACAAUCUCAGGAUCAUCGCUUGGACAAAAAGCAUCCCAUUGGAAAAACUAUACUGAUAUGUCGACCGAGUUUGAAUGUCCUUGUGUACGCCCAUGUGAAUGUGGGUGUAUUCAUGAGGACACCCUUUUACCCUUGUAUCCCGUCUGGUGUAAUUGAACUCUUCAGCAGAUGGAUGGAACAACUCUAGAUGCCUGGCCGUUUUUCCCAUGCAUAAAGAGAUUUCCAAUCCAAUAUUUGUUUCGGUCCGGAACAAUCUGGCCAGUUCAUCGUCGAACGCGGUAGUACAGACUCUCGUCUGACUUUUUCUCAUUCCCCUGGACUCGAGGAGAAAACGCUUCGAGCUGCGUGACGGAUGCAUUGAUGUAUUCACCGUUUAUUAUUGAUUCGAUCGGGAACAACGCAUCGUCAUCAUCAUCUCUCCUGAUAAUAUUCCCAAACAACUAUACAAGGCCAUGGCGAUAAGAUAAGAGGGAAAAUCCAUUGGUCGUCCGGAAUCAUGAGCACUGACAGCAUCGGUUAAUAAUCGUGUGGUUCCACCACAUUUCUGCGGCUGUAUACCAGUCGAUCCGGAUUCCGGAUGGACCGGCCCAUCUGUUCACCAUUUCAAGGAUUUCCUAUAAGAGAAAGAAAAAUCUUUUUCCCAUAAUAUUUCAGAGAAGAAAAACUCUCAGCAAAGCACCGCGAGUUAUUUAUUAUCCUUUUUGACUGAUGAUAUGAAAUAAGAAGAAAAAAAACAAAAACGUAAUGAGUUUUCAUAUCGUUUAGAACCGGCGGGAUCAACAACUCGGCGUGAACUUUACUCCGACAGACCAAGAAAAAACGAAAUUCUAUUUUCUCCUGCCGGAAUGAAACCGAACACCGGCAACGCCAAAAAAGCAGCCUCUCCCGCAGCGCGCGUUCAACAAACACCGGGACCAUUACCUGGCGACCUCUAUACGUCACCGAUUACUCACCAGCUCCUAUUGGGGCGAAAUGACAACCGAUAGUUUGUGCGAACGUGUCACCGCGUGUCUCGUCGACUUUGGCCGAAACGUUGGAGGGGGAAAAAGAGAAAACGAACGACAGAAAAUCUGUGUCUCGGCAAACGAAUGAGACACGGAUGACGAGACACCAGCGCCCCGUCACCGUGGAUUGUUCUAAACUAUAUACAUAGGCAUGAAAGUCAUUCUCAAAGAUUCAUCCGUCCGGAACGAAAGAAGCAACAACAGCAACAACACGAUAGUCUAACAGCUCGUAGUAUACGUGUGUUAUACUACCACUAGCGGAGAGAGUUGUUUUUUUCGUGAUGAUUGAAAUUGUCGUGAUCAAGUUUCGGUUCAUUCGUCUGACUGACGGAAGAAAAUUGGUGGAAGAAGUUAAAAAAAAAACCAAAGCGAAAAGGAAAAAUAAAGGAAAUCCCGCACGCCAACAUUCAAUAAUCCUCCCAUCUUUUCGCUCUCGGUGGAUUAGCGAAAGGAAUAUCAAAUAAGAAGAGAGAGAAAAAAGAAAGGAAUAUUUUUGUUUUGUUUUUCAAGUGUUAUGUUUUUUGGUCGUCGUCAUCAUCAUCAAACGGUCACGAUUUCGCCCGAACUCCCAACGGAAGCGACUGUAAACUUGGAACGAAAGUUGUAUAUCUACCUGGGCUCUAACCAAACAACAGCCGAGAUAUUUAUAUCUACAUGGGUACAGUAGCACCGGGAUUCUUGUGUCUCUUGUGCAAUCGUUUUUAAUAGUAUGACAUUGCCCAAGAGAAGUUGAGGAGGAUGUAAUUUUUUUUUUUUUACAUUCGACAAUGAAUAUUUCAGGUGAAAAGUUGGAAAUGGUCAAAACACACGAGCUCCGGUUAUGUGGACGUACAGAUAGUGUUAGCUCUGCCAAUAGAAAGGGAGAGAGUUUCAAAUCAACUCUUUAAAAAGAGAC